AUUGAACGCUGGCGGCAUGCCUUACACAUGCAAGUCGAACGGCAGCAUGAUCUAGCUUGCUAGAUUGAUGGCGAGUGGCGAACGGGUGAGUAAUACAUCGGAACGUGCCCUGUAGUGGGGGAUAACUAGUCGAAAGAUUAGCUAAUACCGCAUACGACCUGAGGGUGAAAGUGGGGGACCGCAAGGCCUCAUGCUAUAGGAGCGGCCGAUGUCUGAUUAGCUAGUUGGUGAGGUAAAGGCUCACCAAGGCGACGAUCAGUAGCUGGUCUGAGAGGACGAUCAGCCACACUGGGACUGAGACACGGCCCAGACUCCUACGGGAGGCAGCAGUGGGGAAUUUUAGACAAUGGGCGAAAGCCUGAUCCAGCAAUGCCGCGUGUGUGAAGAAGGCCUUCGGGUUGUAAAGCACUUUUGUCCGGAAAGAAAUGGCUCUGGUUAAUACCUGGGGUCGAUGACGGUACCGGAAGAAUAAGGACCGGCUAACUACGUG
rnacentral:rRNA from 1 species